rnacentral:rRNA from 1 species
UACGGAGGGGGCUAGCGUUGUUCGGAAUUACUGGGCGUAAAGCGCACGUAGGCGGCUUAGCAAGUUAGAGGUGAAAGCCCGAAGCUCAACUUCGGAAUUGCCUUUAAAACUGCAAGGCUAGAAUUGUGGAGAGGUGAGUGGAAUUCCGAGUGUAGAGGUGAAAUUCGUAGAUAUUCGGAAGAACACCAGUGGCGAAGGCGACUCACUGGACACAUAUUGACGCUGAGGUGCGAAAGCGUGGGGAGCAAACAGG